AGUCGAACGCUUCUUUUUCCACCGGAGCUUGCUCCACCGGAAAAAGAGGAGUGGCGAACGGGUGAGUAACACGUGGGUAACCUGCCCAUCAGAAGGGGAUAACACUUGGAAACAGGUGCUAAUACCGUAUAACAAUCAAAACCGCAUGGUUUUGAUUUGAAAGGCGCUUUCGGGUGUCGCUGAUGGAUGGACCCGCGGUGCAUUAGCUAGUUGGUGAGGUAACGGCUCACCAAGGCCACGAUGCAUAGCCGACCUGAGAGGGUGAUCGGCCACAUUGGGACUGAGACACGGCCCAAACUCCUACGGGAGGCAGCAGUAGGGAAUCUUCGGCAAUGGACGAAAGUCUGACCGAGCAACGCCGCGUGAGUGAAGAAGGUUUUCGGACCGUAAAACUCUGUUGUUAGAGAAGAACAAGGAUGAGAGUAACUGUUCAUCCCUUGACGGUAUCUAACCAGAAAGCCACGGCUAACUACGUGCCAGCAGCCGCGGUAAUACGUAGGUGGCAAGCGUUGUCCGGAUUUAUUGGGCGUAAAGCGAGCGCAGGCGGUUUCUUAAGUCUGAUGUGAAAGCCCCCGGCUCAACCGGGGAGGGUCAUUGGAAACUGGGAGACUUGAGUGCAGAAGAGGAGAGUGGAAUUCCAUGUGUAGCGGUGAAAUGCGUA
rnacentral:rRNA from 1 species